GAAACCGUCUAGAGGCAAACGGAGAGGACCGUAUGGUCCACCCGUCGGAUUCAGUCCGCCUGCGCGGCGCGGGCGUCGGUUGCGCAUCCCUCGUGGGAGCGCGCCGGCGUCUCGUUCGUCGUGCGGCGGCCGUACUUUCGGCGGGUGGAGCGCCACCAUGGGUUCGCGGGCGGCGAGAAACUCCCGGGCAAGGUGACCUUCGCUUCGGCGCAGGAGCAUACAGGCCCGGUGAGCGCAGGCCCGUCUGCGGACCGAGGAAGACCGUCGCGGUGCGGCGUCGACCGCCCGUCGUGGGCGCGCGUUCGACUCGGGGGGACUGGUUUCAGUGCCCUCGGACUGCGUGCGUCUAGCGGCGGGACGGCCCGGCGUCGCGCCUGGUAUGAGUGGCGUAACGGCCGGCAACCUGUCCGACCCGUCUUGAAACACGGACCAAGGAGUCUAACAUGUGCGCGAGUCGUUGGGCGUUACGAAACCCGAAGGCGCAAUGAAAGUGAAGGCCCGGUCUCCGGCCGGCCUGGGUGCGAUCCGGACGGUCACGGCCGUUCGGCGCAGCACCGGCCCGUCUCCAUCGCCACGUCGAGGAGGCGGAGCAAGAGCGUACACGUUGGGACCC
rnacentral:rRNA from 1 species